rnacentral:lncRNA from 1 species
GAAAAUGGGAGAACAAGAUCUUCAACUUUCAUGUUGGGCAAAAAUUCAUUUGAAGCUUGUAUCAUGAUGUAAGUUGAGGAUCAAGAAGUUUCUAUUUUUGGCAGUUGAAAUUACAGGUCCAGUUUCUAUUUUGGGAAUUUUUCUGAUUUGCUUCAAAUUCUUCCAUGAUGUUGAUUGCCAUGACAUAUGAGGUUUAUUAGGACAUGAAUAAGCUCCUUCAAACCAUUUCUAUCCAUCA